rnacentral:rRNA from 1 species
CUGUAGGCUGCAACUCGCCUACACGAAGUCGGAAUGCUAGUAAUCGCGGAUCAGCAUGCCGCGGUGAAUACGUUCCCGGGCCUUGUACACACCGCCCGUCACACCAUGGGAGUUUGUAACGCCCAAAGUCGGUGGCCUAACCUUUAUGAGGGAGCCGCCUAAGGCGGGACAGAUGACUGGGGUGAAGUCGUAACAAGGUACC